AUGACUUUGAUCUGCGUCCUCAUCUGGACUCUCCUCUGCUGCUGCUUCACAGAGUCCAGAGGCCAGGUCACAGUGACUCAGCCUGGAUCAGUGAGGUCUAGUCUGGGAGGAACCGUCAACAUCAACUGUAGAACCAGUCAGAGGGUUUAUGGUGGCAACGAUUUAGCCUGGUACCAACAGAGAGAUGGAGGAGUUCCUAAACUUUUCAUUUACUAUGCUAGCAAUAGAGCAUCAGGGAUUCCAGGUCGUUUUACAGGCAGUGGAUCAAACUCUGACUUCACUCUGACCAUCAGUGGAGUCCAGACUGAAGAUGUAGCAGUUUAUUACUGUCAGAGUUUUCAUGUCAUCAACAGUCAGUAUGUGUUCACACAGUGA